GUUUUUACACAGUACCCUGAAUGUGCCUGAUCUCGGCUGAUGUCAAAAGCUAAGCAGGGCCGGGCCUGGUUAGUAUUUUGAUGGAGAGAGACCACCUAGAAAUACCAGGUGCUGUAGGCA
rnacentral:rRNA from 1 species